rnacentral:rRNA from 1 species
AUUGAACGCUGGCGGAAUGCUUUACACAUGCAAGUCGAACGGCGGCACGGACUUCGGUCUGGUGGCGAGUGGCGAACGGGUGAGUAAUAUAUCGGAACGUGCCCAGUCGUGGGGGAUAACGUAGUGAAAAUUACGCUAAUACCGCAUACGAUCUAUGGAUGAAAGCGGGGGAUCGCAAGACCUCGCGCGAUUGGAGAGGCCGAUAUAAGAUUAGGUAGUUGGUGAGGUAAAGGCUCACCAAGACGACGAUCUGUAGCUGGUCUGAGAAGACGACCAGCCACACUGGAACUGAGACACGGUCCAGACUCCUACGGGAGGCAGCAGUGUGGAAUUUUGGACAAUGGACGCAAGUCUGAUCCAGCCAUUCCGCGUGCAGGACGAAGGCCUUCGGGUUGUAAACUGCUUUUGUACAGAACGAAAAGGUCUCUAUUAAUACUAGGGGCUCAUGACGGUACUGUAAGAAUGAGCACCGGCUAACUACGUGCCAGCAGCCGCCGUAA